GAUGCCAGGGUCAAAAGCCAAAAACCACGAUGUGCUUGCAAAGGAGUGGUUUUAUGGCUUAGUGACCCGCCCGAUAUGAGGAUAAAAGUAGGGCGUAUGCCUACGAUAUCCGAAUAUUGGGCAGGAUUGUGGAAGUGCGAAGCACGAAACAAUCCGUCUG
rnacentral:sRNA from 1 species